rnacentral:misc_RNA from 1 species
GUGAAUCAUCAAAUUUUUGAACGCACAUUGCACUCUCUUCGGAGAGUAUGCCUGUUUGAGGGUCAGCCUCAAAAAAAUCCACAUAGUUGCUGUUACGCGGUAACAUUCUUCGGUUCUUGGGUCAUCUUACACCUUUGGGUUUAAGCGGCUUAUAAUUUUCUUUACGAUUCCAAUAACGUUUCUACGAUUUUAUUUUCUUAUCCUUUUAAGGUAUCGAUCUUUCUUAGACGUUGCCGUUGCAUCGGAUCUCGUCCAUCUGUAUUUCAUUA